UGGGGAAUAUUGGACAAUGGGCGAAAGCCUGAUCCAGCCAUGCCGCGUGUGUGAAGAAGGUCUUCGGAUUGUAAAGCACUUUAAGUUGGGAGGAAGGGCAGUAACCUAAUACGUUGCUGUCUUGACGUUACCGACAGAAUAAGCACCGGCUAACUCUGUGCCAGCAGCCGCGGUAAUACAGAGGGUGCAAGCGUUAAUCGGAAUUACUGGGCGUAAAGCGCGCGUAGGUGGUUUGUUAAGUUGGAUGUGAAAUCCCCGGGCUCAACCUGGGAACUGCAUUCAAAACUGACAAGCUAGAGUAUGGUAGAGGGUGGUGGAAUUUCCUGUGUAGCGGUGAAAUGCGUAGAUAUAGGAAGGAACACCAGUGGCGAAGGCGACUUGCUGGACUUAUGGUGACGCUGAGACGCGAAAGCGUGGGGAGCAAACAGGAUUAGAUACCCAAGUAGUCCCUGAGCGGGCUGGCAAGGCGCAU
rnacentral:rRNA from 1 species